AUGAGGAAGGACUUAAAUGAUGCCCGGGA
rnacentral:piRNA from 1 species